rnacentral:rRNA from 1 species
UACCAGCACCCCGAGUGGUCGGGACGUUUUAUUGGGCCUAAAGCAUCCGUAGCCGGUUCUACAAGUCUUCCGUUAAAUCCAACUGCUUAACAGGUGGGCUGCGGAAGAUACUAUAGAGCUAGGAGGCGGGAGAGGCAAGCGGUACUCGAUGGGUAGGGGUAAAAUCCGUUGAUCCAUUGAAGACCACCAGUGGCGAAGGCGGCUUGCCAGAACGCGCUCAACGGUGAGGGAUGAAAGCUGGGGGGAGCAAACAGG